rnacentral:lncRNA from 1 species
AUGACCCCAAAUUCCCAGGCAGUGUGGAUUCCCGCCGGGUGCGCUCCUCUCUUUACCCUUCGGAGCCAGGCUAGGACGCGCUCGGGUCCGGACCGGGCUCGAGCACAUCUCCUUCCGCGGGGCCGGAUCCGGGCAUCCCGCCCUGGGGUUGAGGUCCCGGUAACCGCUAAUCUCCCCCAGCGGCGGGGGACGUCGCGCAACCGCGGAGCCCUGUCCGGGGAGACUAAACAAGGAGAGGAACAGGCUGUAAACACAUCUCCUGACACGCAGGGAUGUUGCUCUUGGAGAAUGUGAAGACAGUUUGCUUCUUGACAAGCGAGCGAGCGGGCGCCCAGAUUUCUGCAGCCUUCCCGAGUCUCCCCCGAGGGAAAGGCGGGCAGAGAAAACGCCGGAUUUGGGAGCCAUCAGGGAAGGGUUCUGCUCCGGGGAGCCGCCCUCCUUGGCCCCAGUCUCCUGCCUGGGGCCCCCCUUCGGGUACUGCCGGUGGCUGACCACAGACUCUAAGGGUGGUACUGGGAUAUGGGGUGGGGAAAACCUCUUGAAUAAUAACUGUAGAGAAGAAAGAGGCAAAAUCAGCGUCUCUCCUCUGCCUUGGAGUAGAGAGGACUGUUCCUAAAGCUUCUGUCUGCAGCCACAAGGCCAGUUGCCUGCCUCUGUUCCUUGAGUAGAGUAUAACGUCUCCUCUGCUUGAAGCGCGCUUGCAUCAUUCAGCAAAUUACACUCCUUGCUUGCCAAAGUGUGUCUUGCUCAGGGAAAUUGUGUGUGUGUGUGUGUGUGUGUGUGUGUGUGUGUGUGUGUCUGCGCGUAUGUAUGCACCAGCUUCCCCCUCCGGACUAAGGCUGCUGUUAGGGGUACUGGUUAUUCAUUCCGGAAUCCUAGAGACUUAAAUUUGAAAAAGAGAUAGUGGCACACCUGGUCUAUUUUGACCCUAAUUCUCCCUAGAGAACAGCAAUGACUGAACAAAGCCACCAAUAUUUCAAAGUCCGUUUCCAGGGUACAGCGUGUGCCCUCAGGAGGCCCCCAAUGGGCUAUGCUUCCUGUACUUGCCCCUUCUCUCUAACCUCUGUGUCCAGUUUAUAUAGCAGAGGAAUGGUGAUUCUUUGUCCCUGUAUAGGAAUGUGGGGUUGUGCGCACCUCCAAGAAAAGGUGGGGGGGUGACAGCAAGUUACAGUGACUGCAGAAAAAUUCCCGUAUCUUCAGCACGGACCCCCUUUUUGCCAUGCUUCUGGCCCAUGUUCAGCAAAAGGGACUGUUUUAUAUUGAUGCAAGAGACAGUCAGCAGCAUAUCUACCCAGCCAUGGCUAUCUUUCUUUAUGAAAUCAGUUCACUGCCUUGGUCACACCAUACAGAAAAUCUGCUGAUCACCUCUAUGGACAGUAAAAACCACUGGGGCCUUAGUUAUUUCCAAGAGGAGCCCCUUUUGUGUGAACCUAGAAUAGAGACGUGGCUUGGCCCAUUGCAGGCAGAGAGGAGCCCAAUUCCUCCUCCUCUUCUCCCUGCAGCGAUCUGAACAAUUCUGAAACCGCCUCCCUGGGCGUCAGCUAGCAGGUUGGGGAACUAACCAGGGCUCUCUCUCUAGGGCCCUGUUAAAUGCACUGAACUUAAAAUGAAACACGAAGUGUGAAUUUCAGGUUUGAACAUGAUGCAUCAGGAAACGCAGAGGUUGGCAGCCCUUUUCCUCCCUCCUGCCUUUCGGUAGCAGGUAUUAAUAUUGUAUUAAAUGUUAUGAGGCAGUAAGGGCUGCGGAGAGAAUGUGCUCAGAUGCAAUUUUGUCAAGGUUUUUAUCUGUGAUUAUGAUUCCAGAUGUAGAAGCUCCCGGAGGAGGGAAACGAGGGGCUGCUGGCAUGUGACAUGUGUUUUAAGGUGUUUGGCAGUGUUUCUCAAAGUGGUGACAAAAUGUUCAAUUUUAUUACAGGGAAUUGGUAAGAGAAACGUGAAUACUAGGUCAGAGAUUAUUCAUCUCAGCAAAAGGGUUUACCAUUAUUGAUUAGAGUGUGGAAAGUUUGUAUCUGGGCCCUACUCAAAUCACACUGUCAACAAUAUAAAUCUGUCAGAACAGAUUAUUCUUAAAGAACACUUGUAACAAAAUAUGCAAUAGCUAAUUGCAUCCCCUCCACAGCUAACUUCCACAAAAAGAUAUAUAUUGUCCUGAAAGCGGGAAAAAAAAAGUAGUGUAAGUAUUGCAAGAGGUGAUCUUUUCCCACCUGAUGUAACUAUAGUUAUACUUUCUACCUUGAAGAUUUUUAAAAAAUCUAGCAGACAGUUAUAGUCCUGGAAAAGCCAUUUUGGUAGCCCCUGCUCUGCAAGCCUUUCUGGUUGAAGCGCGCGCGCGUGCGCGCGCGCGCACACACACACACACACACACACACACACACACACACCACCCAGCAAUAAAUUUUCUCACACAGGGAACCACAUUUGCUUAAAAGAGAAUCAGGAAGAUUUUGUAGAAAAAAGUAGGGAUGAGGAGAAAGCAGAUGAACCCUGAGUAGCUAACAAUUCUUAUACUUCCAUGCAUUUGAUACUGGAAAUUUUUGGUACCCCAAUUUCUCUUCAUUCAAAGGCAUCUCUACCAUCUCACUCUGACUGCAGGACACCCCUAAACUCCAUUUUGAAGCACAAGUUUCCUCAUAAACCUUUUAUGAGUGUCACGGUCACUAGCACUAGUGGGCUCUGGUGUGCAGCCCAUGCUCACUACACUGAGGUGUGUCUGGUAAGCAUUUCCAUGGAACAAGAGCGGGUUUUGCCUAAAGAUUAAGGCCUUGGUUCCUCCCUGAGUCUCUGAACCAAGGACAAGAGUCUGUACCCACUUGCUGGAGUCACUGAACAUAGAGAUCAUCCUAAAUCCAGCACACCCAUUCCCUUCCCUUAAUCCAAGCUACAGGAUGCUGGUUUUAACUUUCCAGCUACUGACACUAUUUUACUAUCAUGAAGCAUAGUAGACUUCUAGAACUAAUUGUACCUUCUCCUUGCAAGUAAGAAGGUUCCUGUCCCUGGUUCUUCUCCCUGCAUUUUCACCCAGACCCCCCCAAUCCUAGCCCAACUUUCCACUGGUCCUAUUGGCAAAUCUCUACUGUUGUUUGGGAAGUUGGCAUUGUCUCUUUAGGUGAGGAAGGAAUCAGUUCUUACAUGUGCUUCAGCUGAAGCCCAGCCCCUUGGCACCCUCCUCCCCCAACAUUUUUAUUCUCCCAUUAAUUAAAACAACUAAUGUCCCAUCGAUUACCUUUGCAUGAAUGAAAAUCAUUAUGAGCCCUUGCAGGUAUAUGGGAAAUUGUUUGCUUAAGUAUUCGCACUUUGAUUUCCUAUAGACUCAUUUUCUCAAGCAUAUAGAAAUUCAAACACAAACAAAAGCAAAAUCUCCUGACA